UGAGCAAUCUGCCCUUCUCAUCGGAAUAAGCGUUGGAAACGACGUCUAAUGCCGAAUACGACCUCCUUUCGCAUGAUCGGAGGUGGAAAGCUCCGGCGGAGAAGGAUGAGCUCGCGGCCUAUCAGCUAGUUGGUGUGGGUAAUGGCCCACCGAAGGCGACGACAGGUAGCCGGCCUGAGAGGGUGACCCGGCCACACGUGGGACUGAGACACGGCCCAGACCUCCGUAGGGAG
rnacentral:rRNA from 1 species